UCAUAAAAUUUGAUUUUUUUGUAAACUGAGUUUAAUUAAAUAGUAAUAUGUUUGGUGUGGCAUUUCUGAACAAUUUUUUUAGAAAACUGUGUUUGAAAUUCGACAACCCCUCGGUUUAGUGAAUAUAUGUAUGCUAUAAUGAGCUUAAUACCCAUUCACAUAUACAGUUACUUUUAAUAGAAAUAUAUAUAACAUAAAUAAUAUAUAAAUAAAUAAAUUUAUUCCUUUUCACUCUCCACAAAAUAAAAUUUAUGCUGAAUUGCAGCGGAUUAUUGUGUCUCUGUAUAAAAAUAAUUUGACUUUUGACUGAAAUUUCACGCCCCACAAUACAAUAACAACUACGAAACAAUAACUUUCUAUACAUUUUUGUUUGCCCUUUCUUUCACAAGUUUUUUUUUUCUUUUUAUUUAAUGGUGAAAAAAAUUUUGGGUGAAUAAAUUAAGAAUUUGUGUUGAAAAAGCGAAAAUUUAACAACAAAAUCCGUUGACUUCACGCCGCGUUGCCUUUUUAAUGUACUUGAAAAUUAUGUAUUAGCAUUAACAUUAACAUUCGCACUGAGUCUCGAAAACGCAUGCCAAUCGCCAUGAAACAAUUUGAAAGAAAAACAAAAAAAACAUGGAAAUUUCGUAACACUAUCUGCACAAAUAAUAGCUUCGGGGCUGGAAUAACCUACUCCUCCUAGGAAUCUAGAUAAGAUGUACGAUGAAAUCACAGGUGAAGAUGGACUUACAGGGUCUAAGAACCAAAAAAACUGCUUUGGAAUCUCGAUACAGAAAAUUAUGACAUUAUAAAAAUGGGAGAAGACUAGAUUAAUAUAGAUAAUGGUCAUAAACAAAUAGUGUUUCAGAUCAGAUGGUGUUAUGGAGGAAGAUCUGCAAAUAAUUUUGAAGAAUGCUGCCGAUUAAAAAUCCGGUCCCGCUACGGUUACCUCGACCCGACUGUUGUGGCAACGCUUCAAAAGACGUCAGUGGGCGUAGUUAGUAAGGAAGAAAGCUAAUUGGAAAAUGUUCAGAGAUUGAAAGGCAGCCGAUAACGACCAGGAACAUAUGCCAACACAUAAAAAAAGUAUUGUUUCGAUAGUGAUUGUUAAUUGGAAUUACACUUCAAGCUGAACCAUCCCCAAUAUACUUCCAGUAACAAAUGUACGAUUAAUUUUUGUUGACACUGUGCUUAAGGUAUACUAAUUACAAACAGUGUUCAGCUCACUUUCAGCCACAUUGUCCGUCCGUGUUAAAAUUAGGUUGAAAUUCGUGGUAAUAUCUCGCAUUUACAUGAUGGCUAUUUCUGUUUAGAAAGAUAUUAGCAUUGACAGCGCGCUGGUCUAUGGCCCAAUUAUUGUGAGCGCAGGUUGAAUUCAACUAUAUACAAACUUACCUACAUACAUACAUACAGGUAUCUUCCAUUCAGACAGUGACUGAAAAUUUAUAUCUACAUAUGUACAUAUGUACAUAUGUAUAUUUUAACACGUGCAAGCGAUAAAUUUUAUAUGAAAAGCAGAAAAAUAGACAAAGCGUCACAGCGUACAACGGGCGGUAAAAGCUACCACUUUGUUUUCAUGUCUGUUGUUUUUUUGUUUUUUAUUUUUAUAUUUUUUAUUUUUUUCGUGUGUUUUUAGCGAACGAAAAGAAAAAGUAGCGGCAAAUCUAUUUGUGCUCUGUCGGUUUUUAUUGUUAAUGUGGAAGUAUCACAAGCGCAGAAAAGUAAAAUGUAUUGUACAAAUUCUAGUUAAUUGAGUAUCCACUGUUAGCACUUUCGGUUAGCAUGCAAGAAACUGUGUGUAAGAUACAAUAAUUUCUAAUUUUGAGCAUUCUGAUUUUACGGCAGUUUAUAAGAGAUUAGAGGCUGUUCCCGUUAGUUGGAGUUUAUAUCCAUAUAUGUAUGUGUGUUUGUUUGUAUUGAAAAAUAUGCAUAUUACUUGUGUAUUUUGCAAACUCGUUAACGCCUUUCUCCUCAGUUAAUGUGAUACAUCUAAUAAUAUAGAAUGUGUAUGCAUACAUACAUAUCUACAUAAGUAGUAGGGAUUUAGGUACAUAUUUACAUAAGUACAAAAUGCGUUAGAGUAUAGAAACCACCUUUUGAGCUGAGCUUUUCUCUGGCAUCUAACAAUGUUACUUAUGAAGUCUACAUUAUACAGUGGAACUUCCAUAACUCGAACUUUCUUAACUCGAAGUUCUCCAUAACUCGAACUCUUGAAUUGGCAAUAGAAGUCAAAUUUCAUACUAAUCUCCUUCCAUAAAUCGAAAUUUUCGACCAGGGAAUAAUAAAAAAAAUGUACUAUCGAGGCACAAUUUUAAGAGUCAGAGGGAUAGAUCGUAUGGAGGAGAAUAAAAAAUAUGAUAUUACUCUAAUGGAUUUCAUAAAUCAUAAAACAAAAUCAUGGGAUGCAGUCGUUAAGAGCCAAACAAUAGUAAAGUGUAACAAACAAAAUUACAGAAUUCAUGUUUUAAUGUAUUUAAAUAAAAGUCUAUGCGAAGUAAAUAACUAAAACUGUGUAUAAAUCUAUAUAUCACAACUUUUUGAAAACUUAAUAUUUUAUUGAAAAUUUCUAUAACUCGAAGUUUUUUUGUGGAUUUUGAUUUGAGUUAGAGAAGUUCCACUGUACUUAUUAAAUAUAUCAAGACGCAUGGUAUUUGAAAAAAUCCACAUAUGUCAUAUCAAAUAUAUUUCAGUAUCGAAGCACAAUCCUUAAUGCCAUUGUAUACUGCUUUGACUCCUGAAGUAGAAAUAAUUUCCAAUUCCAAAUUUUAGCGCAGUCGAUACACAUUCUCAUAACUUAGGCACACAUAACUAAAUAAACUAAAUAAAUAGAAUACAAAAUAUUUUUUCUUUUUUUUAACUACGCACUGAACCGGCAAUGUCAUAUAGUUUUACACACUUCUGACCACCGCGGUCGAUAUUUCUGCAGAACAGAAUGACUCAUGCCUUGAACUACAAAGUAAGGAGGUGCUGCGAAAAGUUUGCCAUUUUUAGGAAAAAUCAAUGUGGAAACGCUCGUGUUCUUUAAACAAUAAAACGACUGACGCAUUGAAGUGUAUCAAAUAACUAAAGACAGGAACAAAUAAUAAAACAUUGUCUUUAUAACUACAGAAUAGUAAAACAUGUGCAAAAUAGUUGCAAAAGGAAGAAAGGAAUCGCCCAAUAUGUACAAAUGUACAUAUAAAUACCCUUGACUGUUAGCAAAGGAAACAUCCCUUACGAUCACAACGUGUUGAUAACUCGCGACAUACCUACAUAUAUAUAUAGAAAUGUAAAAUUUGUCUGCUGUUGCCGGGCGUUGCACAAUCACCAAUUGCUUUAUAUUUACACAAAUGUUGCAGAAAUUUUAACAAAAAGCUGUCAUAAACUGCCAAUAAGUCUACAGCAGCAGUAAAUUGUUGGGAAGUAAAGAUAUGCCUUAGUUUAAUGAAGAAAAUAUUAUUAAAUCAAUUUUAUUAUAUACAUAUAUUUAUAAGAUUUCCUAGCCAUUCUUCAAUUAUAUGUAAAUUUCUAUUGUACAAAUGUUAAAAUACUUUCAUCGCCAACUUAAAAACUAUAAACAUGAAUAUUAUUUGCAAUUGCAAUAUACCACAAAUGAAUGUGUGUGUACAUAUUUAUUUUUACAAUAAAGUGUGAGAAAUGUGCUUUGUGCAAUAGAAAGCCAAAUCAGGAAAAGGAAAUGCAAACAUACAUAUAUACAAAAUGAUGUACUACGGAAGAUGGUAGUAGGUAAUGCAGAGUGGACUUACCGCAGGUCAAGUUGGAAAUCUCAAUAAUCCAAGUUGUUUUCAAUCCAAUUGGAAAUUUAUUGAAUUAAAAAUGUGUUUACUUCUGCUUUUACAACGACGAAUAGUGCGUUUCACGUAUUUUCGAGAUUCACUAUACGUAUUUAACACAAAUUUAUGCACUCGUCUUUUAAAAUAUGUAAAAGCGUUUGCCCGUAUGCAAAAUGUAUGUAUGUAUAUGUGUAUGUAUCAAAUAUGUCUGCCGGUUUGCAAGCGAUUAGCGGAUUUUAUGUGCAUCAGCAGCAA